rnacentral:rRNA from 1 species
GCAUAUCAAUAAGCGGAGGAAAAGAAACCAACAGGGAUUGCCCUAGWAACGGCGAGUGAAGCGGCAACAGCUCAAAUUUGAAAUCUGGCUCUUUCAGAGUCCGAGUUGUAAUUUGCAGAGGGCGCUUUGGCUUUGGCAGCGGUCCAAGUUCCUUGGAACAGGACGUCACAGAGGGUGAGAAUCCCGUACGUGGUCGCUAGCUAUUGCCGUGUAAAGCCCCUUCGACGAGUCGAGUUGUUUGGGAAUGCAGCUCUAAAUGGGAGGUAAAUUUCUUCUAAAGCUAAAUAUUGGCCAGAGACCGAUAGCGCACAAGUAGAGUGAUCGAAAGAUGAAAAGCACUUUGGAAAGAGAGUCAAACAGCACGUGAAAUUGUUGAAAGGGAAGCGCUUGCAGCCAGACUUGCUUGCAGUUGCUCAUCCGGGCUUUUGCCCGGUGCACUCUUCUGUAGGCAGGCCAGCAUCAGUUUGGGCGGUGGGAUAAAGGUCUCUGUCACGUACCUCUCUUCGGGGAGGCCUUAUAGGGGAGACGACAUACCACCAGCCUAGACUGAGGUCCGCGCAUCUGCUAGGAUGCUGGCGUAAUGGCUGUAAGCGGCCCGUCUUGAAACACGGACCAAGGAGUCUAACAUCUAUGCGAGUGUUUGGGUGUCAAGCCCGAGCGCGUAAUGAAAGUGAACGGAGGUGGGAACCCGCAAGGGUGCACCAUCGACCGAUCCUGAAGUUUACGGAAGGAUUUGAGUAAGAGCAUGGCUGUUGGGACCCGAAAGAUGGUGAACUAUGCUUGAAUAGGGUGAAKCCAGAGGAAACUYUGGUGGAGGCUCGCAGCGGUUCUGACGUGCAAAUCGAUCGUCAAAUUUGGGCAUAGGGGCGAAAGACUAAUCGAACUAUCUAGUAGCUGGUUCCUGCCGAAGUU